GACACAGACUGUCAUCACUGGUGCCCAUUAGUCAUUACGUGAUAAAUUGAAAAGCUCUUCACCAGACAACAAACUGCCCAAAGUGUAGUGGACAUACAAAGAAUCAGGUUCUCUGACAAAGAUCUUCAAGUUAGACGGCGAGAAUGUCUAGUAUUCUCUAUUUAGUUUUGUUGUGACUAACAAGUGCACAAUUUCACUCAUUGUAGAGCUGAGCUGUGUACAGAUCUGGAAGGAUGGAGUGCUAGCAGUCAUGCACUGGAUGUUAUUCUAAGAAUUAAUGAUCAACGUUCCACAAUUAAUGUACAGAAUAAACAAUUGCUUAAUCAUAACAUUUUA